AUCAUUCUGUGAACAUGUCUUAUGAUUCAAAUGAAAUAAAAAACCAAUUUUUAAUGCAUUGAAAAAAACAUAUGUUUGAAAAUGUUGAUACAAUGUGGAUGUUAUUGUAAAAAUAAAUUAUCUUAAAUGUGUAUCACGCACUUAUGUUCAAGAAAAUUAUAAUUAAUCAAAGUUUUACAUAAAAUAUUCAUAUAUUGUUAAAAGGAAUUAGAUUUUAAUACAGAUUAAACAGUGUUAAAACUACAGAGUAAAGUAAAUAGGACUGGCGAGGUGAAAUAUUAAAAGAGAUUGUAAGAAUUAAAUAAGUAUGGCUAACAAAAUUGACUCGAAGGAUGUUAACUUGGUGUCAUCUUCUAUAAUGCUCGUUAACAAUCCUGUAUCGGAGAAUAUGACAUAUUUCCAAGAAUCAUCCAGUAUGACGCACGCGUCUACUAGUUCUUCGUCUCGUAUAGAGGAUUAUCCGUAUCAAUACCAAGAAAGCAUGGGUCCAUUUUCAUACGGCACAUAUUAUCCAUACGCUUAUUCAAGUAUGGACUAUGUAGCGACGUCAACUCGUAACUGUCGAUGUGAGACGACGCCCCCACAGGACACGUUCUUGCAUCAGAUCUUGAUGGGGAAAGGAUAUAAAAAUGAUAGACUAUAUGUUACUCCCAAACCUAUCAUAAAACAAGAAGUAGAUUAUGGGAGCUAUGGUUGUUGCUAUACUAGUAGUUAUCCAAUGGGAUAUGGAUAUCCCAUGUAUCACCAUUAAAUAUUUAUGACAAUGUUCUUAUGGGUUCAUUCCCGAGGACAGAUUACAGUUUCAAGGUGUAUCUACCAGCAACUAAACAGAUAGAAGACAGUAAAAUAGAAGAUUAACCAAUGAUCUCACUUCAUUUUGAUAUCUCAUCUUAUAUAUCACACUUGUCAUUUAUUGACCUUUGACCUCCAAUUAACCUGUUUUCUGCUGAAACGGAAAGUGAUCAGAAUAGAGUCAGGUCAGCCUGCAUAUCCGUGCAGUCUGACGGGGUUCUCUACUUUUGGCUGAAUUACUUGAAAUUUACAUAUUGUUUAACCCUGAAAAUUGAUAACAAACAGUUUCAAAAAUAAAAGCUGUAACUGUUUGCGAAACGAAUUCAGCAGGCUAAAUAUUAUUGUUAUAUUUAUUUACAACUGUUAAAGAACUGCAUUCCUUGAUUAUUUACUAUUUAAAACAAUGAAAUUUGAUAUUUGAAAUGAAUUGAUAUAUCUGGUUGAAUUGAUAUAUCUGGUUGUGUAAAACCUGGAAAUAUUGAAAGUGCUAUAUUAUUAAUACUUAAACUUGUGUAAUGAUGACCCUCAAUGAUUUUAAGACAGAAUCCCACUAGGGGCAAUGGAUUCUUUCAUGUGAGAUAGCUAUCCAGCUAGGUUAUUGAAGGCUGGUGAAUUUCUUUAGAUGCCAGAAGGAAAAAAAUGCAUGUUAGUGCAUCUAAGAUUGAAAUUUUUCAUGUGUGUCCAUAAAUAUUUGUUCAACCUAAAAAAUAUUUUGAAAUGAAAUAUUCAAGAUAAGAUUUUGGAAUAAAUAUGCAAAAUGUGAUGAUAUGUAAUGUUAGUUAUCGCUAAGCUAGUUAAAAGCAUGAAUUUUUUAGCUCACAUGUCACAAAGUGACAGGGUGAGCUUUUGUGAUCGCUUUUCGUCCGGCCGGCGUCCGUAAACUUUUACUUUAAAUGACAUCUCCUCAUAAACCACUGAGCCAAUUUCAUCCAAACUUCACAGGAAUGUUCCUUUGGUGGUCACCUUUGAAAAUUGUUCAAAGAAUUUAAUUCCAUGCAGAACUCUGGUUGCCAUGGCAACCAAAAGAAAAAACUUUAAAUACCUUCUUCUAUAAAACCCUAAGAGCAAGAGCUUAGAUAUUUGGCAUGAAACAUCUUCUAGUGAGUGUCUACCAAGUUUGUUCAAGUAAAAGCCCUGGGGUCAAAAUCGGCCCCGCCCCAGGGGGUCAUUGAUUUUCCCUAUAUGCAUAUUGUAAAAACUUAAAAAAUCUUCUUUUAAAGAACCCAAAGAGCUAGAGCUAAGAUAUUUAGCAUGAAACAUCGUCUACCAAGUUUGUUCAAAUAAAAGCCCUGGGGUCAAAAUUGGCCCCACCCCAGGGGGUCAUUGAUUUUCCCUUUGUGCAUAUAGUAAAAACUUGAAAAAUCUUCUUUUAAAGAACUCAAAGAGCUAGAGCUAAGAUAUUUAGCAUGAAACAUAUUCUAAUGGAUGUCUACCAAGUUUGUUCAAAUAGGAGCCCUGGGGUCAAAAUUGGCCCCGCCCCAGGGGUCAAUGAUUUUCCUUUUAUGUGUAUAGCAAAAACUUAAAAAAAAACAAAUAGCAAGAGUUUAGAUACUAAGCAUGAAACAUCUUCUAGUGAGUGUCUACCAAGUUUGUUCAAAUAAAAGCCCUGGGGUCAAAAUUGGCCCCAUCUGGGGGUCAUUGAUUUUCCUUAUAUGUGUAUAACAAAAACUUAAAAAAUCUUUUUUUGAAAAAACUCAAAUAGCUAGAGUUAAGAUUUUAAGCACGAAGCAUCUUUAAGUGAGUGUCUACAAAUUUUGUUCAAAUAAAAGCCCUGGGGUCAAAAUUGGCCCCGCCCCGGGGGACAUUGAUUUUCCUUAUAUGUGUAUAGCAAAAACUUAAAAAUCUUUUUCAAAAAAACCCGAAUAGCUAGAGUUUAGAUAUUAAGCAUGAAACAUUUUCUAGUAAGUGCCUACAAAGAUUGUUCAAAUAAAAGCCCUUGGGUCAAAACUGGCCCUGCCCUAGGUGUGUCAUUGUUUUUAACUAUAUGUGUAAAGAAAAAACUUGACCAGCUAGACCUUAGAUGUUUAGCAUGGAACAUCUUCUAAUGGGUGUCUACCAAGUUUGUUCAAACAAAAGCCCUGGGGUUUAAACUGGCCCCGCUCCAGGGGCCUAUAUACAGGUGAGCGACUUCAGGGCCAUCAUGGCCCUCUUGUUUACCUGUUUUGUGAAUUUUUGUCAACGAUCCUGGGAAAUAUUGUAGGAAUACUAAAAUAUUUCAAUAUUUAUGAAAGAAAUAUAACUAAUAUCUAUUAUACAGUGGACUACAUGUGCUAGUAUUUGAAAACUAGUGAUAAAUAUAGUAGCCAGAUACUAUGAGUAAGGAGCCAACCAGGGACAUCCUUAGCUGCCAAAUUUUAGAUUUUGAAUAUUGUUUAUGGUAAUAUUGGGCAAUGCCAAACUAAAAAUUGGACUAUUCUAUUUCACAAAUGCAGCAGGAUGUGUGUUAUAUUAUAAGCUAGGCUGACACAGGGUACACCAUCAGCCUAAUGUUUAAUCUUUAUUCAGUUUGAUUUUUACAGUGUUUCUGGCUCUAUUCUGAUGUCAUUGAUAUAUUUAUUUUAGUAUUUUAUGUCUAGAUAGUGAAUGAUUGCUUAUAGUGAAGUAUGAAAAAAUAUAUAGAUUUUGACAGUAAAGAGUCUUAGACAUUGUAUAUUUGCUUGUGUUUAUUUAUGUUUUAGAAUGAUGAAUGUGUUGUAAAACAUAAUAUUGAUACCAGUGGACUGAUAUUUUGUUUGUUAGUUUAUUCAUAUACAAUGCAUGAUAAAACAUAAGAUAAUUCAUGCUGAAUUUUGGGAAUGUUUCAAUGAUUAACAUACAACUGUGCUUCUGUAAAACUGGUUGUUUUAUUCUGUUUCAGAAACAAAUUUUCAUUAUAACAGUCAUAAAACUGUCUUAACAUUAUAUCUUUUUCAAUCACCACUGUUAUAUUAUUCUUUAAUUCCUCUAUGAUCAGGUCUCGGAUUUUUCAUGUGAUGAAGCUAUUCAGCUAGUAUAGCAGAGGUUGUUGGUUCUACUCAGGUGCCUCCUUGUGCGUGAACUGAUACUCAGAAGGACAUCUGAGGUCUUCCAUUUGACUAUUACAGUGUUAUCAUGACUUAGAAGUCAACCAAAAAGCAAAACAAUAUGAUUGCUAACCAUUGUAUAAAAAAAACCCAGCAAAAUUGUUAAUUUUUGAUUAAUUGUACUUGUUCAAUGAAAUUAUACUGCAUAUAUAUUUUGGUACUUAAAACCAUUUAACAUAUAUGUGUAUGGAAUGGUGAUGUUGGUUGUAUACAAAAUAUCCUGUCAGUACACAUACAAACUAGUCUACACUGCACCUAUGUGCAGUCUGACCAGACUCUAUACUGUUGGCUAUUUUAUUGAAAUCAAUGGAAAGUUCUAAAUUCAACGCAAUAAGUCUGUAACACAAGGAGAGACAGGAAAGAUUUCAGACAUAAUUUAUUCAAUCUGUAACUAUGCAUGUAGUUAAUUUUAGUUGUAAUUUUAUUGUAUUAUAAUCCUAUCAGAAUAAUUCAUUUAGUUAGAGCAGCAUGCGUCCAGAUUCAUGCUAAUUUUCAUGAAAAUUUUAAAAAUGUAUAUAGAAAUAAAAAAUAUUGUGAAGUGAACAAAGAAAGUAAUUUACACAUUGCAUGCAGCACUUACAAUCCAUGAUAAGUACCAAAAAAAGGGUCAAAAUAUGGCAAAAAUAGCCCUUACUGUUGAAAUAUGAUGAUAUAUACUGCAAAUCAGUCAAUAAUAAGCACAUAACAUUUAUAUCAUUACAUGAAUCUUGAAUCUUUUUUUUCUUAAAAUCUUGGAACACUUUCCUCAUGUUUGAUUUUCUUGAAACAUCAUGGCUCAUCUGGAGGCAUGCAGCUUUAAGAUUGUUCUUCAUUGUGACAAUGUUUCAGGUUCUGAAACAAACUAAUUAUUUUUUAAAAUUAUAUUUAGUGAGAUACUGUUAUUAGCAUAACAAUAGACAUUAUGUACAGUGAAUAAAAAUCAAAUGAUUUAUGUAAAA